rnacentral:rRNA from 1 species
UGGGGAAUAUUGGACAAUGGGCGCAAGCCUGAUCCAGCCAUGCCGCGUGAGUGAUGAAGGCCCUAGGGUUGUAAAGCUCUUUCACCGGUGAAGAUAAUGACGGUAACCGGAGAAGAAGCCCCGGCUAACUUCGUGCCAGCAGCCGCGGUAAUACGAAGGGGGCUAGCGUUGUUCGGAUUUACUGGGCGCAAAGCGCACGUAGGCGGACUUUUAAGUCAGGGGUGAAAUCCCGGGGCUCAACCCCGGAACUGCCUUUGAUACUGGAAGUCUUGAGUAUGGUAGAGGGGAGUGGAAUUCCGAGUGUAGAGGUGAAAUUCGUAGAUAUUCGGAGGAACACCAGUGGCGAAGGCGGCUCACUGGACCAUUACUGACGCUGAGGUGCGAAAGCGUGGGGAGCAAACAGG